rnacentral:rRNA from 1 species
GACGGGGCCCGCACAAGCGGAGGAGCAUGUGGUUUAAUUCGAUGAUACGCGAGGAACCUUACCUGGGCUUAAAUGCUUAAUGACGUACUGGGAAACUGGUAUUUCUUCGGACAUUUUGCAAGGUGCUGCAUGGUUGUCGUCAGCUCGUGCCGUGAGGUGUCGGGUUAAGUCCCAUAACGAGCGCAACCCCUAUUGUUAGUUGCCAUCAGGUCAUGCUGGGGACUCUAACAAAACUGCCCGCGUAAGCGUGGAGGAAGGUGGGGAUGACGUCAAAUCAGCACGGCCCUUACGUCCAGGGCUACACACGUGCUACAAUGGCCGGUACAGAGGGCAGCCACUUGGUGACAAGGAGCAAAUCUCAAAAGCCGGUCUCAGUUCGGAUCGGGGUCUGCAACUCGACUCCGUGAAGUUGGAUUCGCUAGUAAUCGUAGAUCAGCAAUGCUACGGUGAAUACGUUCCCGGGCCUU